CCAAUCGGAGGCUGAAGUUUGUGUUUUUGUUGCAGGGACGUUGUUCUUCUGUUCUCUCUGUUUGUUCUGCUGGUGGAAGGAGACCUCGACUCCAACGAUGCUGGAAUACAAGCCAUGUCCACAGAUAAAGAUUCGACGUCUGAUGAAGCUCCUACAGAGAGCAUGAACGCUGUUUCUCCUGAUCAACCUG